GUGCCCUUUUAAGACUGAAGCAGUGCUUUAAGAGGUUAACACAGAAGCGUAAAGUAAGUUUCCAUAAAACCCAGAGAAGAGAUUAUAAAAAUCCUCUUUGCAUCCUGUCUGGAGUCACAGUU
rnacentral:snoRNA from 1 species